UAGGGAAUCUUCGGCAAUGGGGGCAACCCUGACCGAGCAACGCCGCGUGAGUGAAGAAGGUUUUCGGAUCGUAAAGCUCUAUUGUAAGAGAAGAACGUGUGUGAGAGUGGAAAGUUCACACAGUGACGGUAACUUACCAGAAAGGGACGGCUAACUACGUGCCAGCAGCCGCGGUAAUACGUAGGUCCCGAGCGUUGUCCGGAUUUAUUGGGCGUAAAGCGAGCGCAGGCGGUUUAAUAAGUCUGAAGUUAAAGGCAGUGGCUUAACCAUUGUUCGCUUUGGAAACUGUUAAACUUGAGUGCAGAAGGGGAGAGUGGAAUUCCAUGUGUAGCGGUGAAAUGCGUAGAUAUAUGGAGGAACACCGGUGGCGAAAGCGGCUCUCUGGUCUGUAACUGACGCUGAGGCUCGAAAGCGUGGGGAGCAAACAGG
rnacentral:rRNA from 1 species